rnacentral:rRNA from 1 species
GGUGAACGCUGGCGGCGUGCUUAAGACAUGCAAGUCGAACGCAGUCUUCGGACUGAGUGGCGCACGGGUGAGUAACACGUAACUGACCUACCCCCAAGUCGCGGAUAACUGGCCGAAAGGUCAGCUAAUACGUGAUGUGAUGUCCCCUUUCUGGGGGGCCAUUAAAGGUUUACUGCUUGGGGAUGGGGUUGCGGUCCAUCAGCUAGUUGGCGGGGUAAAGGCCCACCAAGGCAACGACGGAUAGCCGGCCUGAGAGGGUGGCCGGCCACAGGGGCACUGAGACACGGGUCCCACUCCUACGGGAGGCAGCAGUUAGGAAUCUUCCACAAUGGGCGAAAGCCUGAUGGAGCGACGCCGCGGGAGGGAUGAAGGUUCUCGGAUCGUAAACCUCUGAAUCAGGGACGAAAGACGCGUAAGCGGGAUGACGGUACCUGAGUAAUAGCACCGGCUAACUCCGUGCCAGCCGCCGCAGUAA